AGGAUGGUUUAUUUGGGGGUAUAGAGUAUGCCACGGCCAUAGGAGUAACUGCAGAGAUGAGCAGAGUUUAAGGAUACACAACUAACAGAUGAGGCAGAGGCAAAAAGAGACACACAAACAGAAUAGUUUUUAACCUGGCUUGAUUAAUGCUGUCAAGUUGCACAUCUGAGUGUGAGCUCAGUGGGACUGUUGCUUUUGUUUAAUACCACAAGACACCUCAGUCUGGAUUGUUGCAUUACAGUACAAAUAAAAACCAGAAACAAAACCACAUCUGCAUCAUACAAGGUGCAGCUCCUGCAGGAAGGCACUCACCUGCUCCAUCCCGUAUGACUGAACUGAGCUUGGAACUGAAGAGGACAUCCACGUGGUUCAAGAUGAAUUCCACAACCACUGACUGGAUGCGCACCUCCAUGAAGGCAGC